rnacentral:rRNA from 1 species
GACGAACGCGGGCGGCGUGCCCAAUACAUGCAAGUAGAACGCUGAAGGAGGAGCUUGCUUCUCCGGAUGAGUUGCGAACGGGUGAGUAACGCGUAGGUACCUGCCUGGUAGCGGGGGAUAACUAUUGGAAACGAUAGAUAAUACCGCAUAACAGUAGAUAUUGCAUGAUAUCUGCUUGAAAGGUGCAAUUGCAUCACUACCAGAUGGACCUGCGUUGUAUUAGCUAGUUGGUGGGGUAACGGCUCACCAAGGCGACGAUACAUAGCCGACCUGAGAGGGUGAUCGGCCACACUGGGACUGAGACACGGCCCAGACUCCUACGGGAGGCAGCAGUAGGGAAUCUUCGGCAAUGGACGGAAGUCUGACCGAGCAACGCCGCGUGAGUGAAGAAGGUUUUCGGAUCGUAAAGCUCUGUUGUAAGAGAAGAACGAGUGUGAGAGUGGAAAGUUCACACUGUGACGGUAUCUUACCAGAAAGGGACGGCUAACUACGUGCCAGCAGCCGCGGUAAUACGUAGGUCCCGAGCGUUGUCCGGAUUUAUUGGGCGUAAAGCGAGCGCAGGCGGUUAGAUAAGUCUGAAGUUAAAGGCUGUGGCUUAACCAUAGCACGCUUUGGAAACUGUUUAACUUGAGUGCAAGAGGGGAGAGUGGAAUUCCAUGUGUAGCGGUGAAAUGCGUAGAUAUAUGGAGGAACACCGGUGGCGAAAGCGGCUCUCUGGCUUGUAACUGACGCUGAGGCUCGAAAGCGUGGGGAGCAAACAGG